rnacentral:rRNA from 1 species
CUACGGGAGGCUGCAGUCGGGAAUAUUGCGCAAUGGAGGAAACUCUGACGCAGUGACGCCGCGUAUAGGAAGAAGGUUUUCGGAUUGUAAACUAUUGUCGUUAGGGAAGAUAAAAGACAGUACCUAAGGAGGAAGCUCCGGCUAACUACGUGCCAGCAGCCGCGGUAAUACGUAGGGAGCAAGCGUUAUCCGGAUUUAUUGGGCGUAAAGGGUGCGUAGACGGGAAGACAAGUUAGUUGUGAAAUCCCUCGGCUUAACUGAGGAACUGCAACUAAAACUAUUUUUCUUGAGUGUUGGAGAGGAAAGUGGAAUUCCUAGUGUAGCGGUGAAAUGCGUAGAUAUUAGGAGGAACACCGGUGGCGAAGGCGACUUUCUGGACAAUAACUGACGUUGAGGCACGAAAGUAUGGGGAGCAAACAGGAUUAGAUACCCUAGUAGUC